GACCCUAUCGUCUAGCCUGGUCAGGACGCGAGCUUUUCAAGCUUGCAACACGGGUUCAAAUCCCGUUAGGGUCGCCA
rnacentral:tRNA from 1 species